GUCCAACCUUAAAGAAAUCAUUCUAGCCUAAUUGCUACUUGCUGUGUCUCUUCUCUCCUUGCUGAAGCUUUCCAUAUACUGUAGAAUCUACCAGGUUGAUAGUCUAAAUACAGCAGUAUGAGCCCACAAGUAAUACGAGAUCCUUCUGGAAGAGCUCCUGUCUCACUGAAACAGAGCAAGAGACUGAUGGCAAAUCUAUCUCCCCUUUAGGUGAAGAAAAAAAUCUUGAGAAGGUGAAGACUGUGAAAUACUUUGCAGUUAUUUUUGACUGUACCCCUAAUCUGAGUCAUCAAGAGCUGUUGUCCUUUGUGCUUUAUGUUGAUGUGACUUCUGAAGAAGUGAAGGAACACUGGAUUUGCCUGAGACAAGAAUAGCAACAGAAAUAGCAUCUGAAAUGGAUGUUGAACCUAAAUUCAGAGAAUGACAUUUGACAUGAAAGACAGGUAAGGAGGAGCUGGAGAAUUCACCCAAGAAAGUGUUGAAACCAAUUACUUUCUGGUCAUCGUGGAUCAGGCUCUCGUGUCACUGAUAACACUAUUUGAACAAAUGCAAGGGUAUGCUGACAAUUUUGGGUUUUUGUAUGAUGUGAAGGAACUCAGAGAAAUGACAGAAGAUGACAUGACAAAGCAGUGCAUGGAUUUGGCCACUGUGUUGUCUGAUGGAGAAUCUCAUGAUAUCGACAGUGUGGACCUUUUCUCAGAGCAUCAGGUGUUAUGAAAAUUCAUCCCUUAAAGAACAAGUACUGUACUUCAAUCCCUUCAGUUUCUUAAAUCACUUGAUGGUACCUUCCCAAAGACAGCAAUUGCAUGCAGGAUUUUGCUGAGAAUCCCAGCCACAGUGGCUUCAGGGGAGCAAAGCUUUUCCAAAUUAAAAAUGAUUAAGAACUACCUAAGGACAACUAUGUCUCAAGAGAGGCUGGUUGGAUUUGCCAGUCUGUCCAUUGAGAAGGAAGUAACAUCAAAUCUGGAUUACCACGAUCUGAUAGCAGAGUUUGCUGCAAGGAAGUCCAGGAAGGUGAAUUUCAGAAUGUAGGCAGUGCGACACUGAUUGUGAUAGGUUAGUUUUAGGUUUUUCUUAAUUAUGCCCCAGCUCAUGCCCUCCCUUUGCUGGAGUCCCAUGGGCCCCACGCAAUGUUAAAGGGGCCUUGCACAGGCUGAUUUCCCCUGGGCCCCACACUGUCCUAGGGACAGCUCUGGGUCACCUGCAGCCAGCUUCUGGCCAUUGGAUCCAGUUUCAGUUGGCACCAGGCUACCUGCAGCAGCCUGCAUGGACCCUGCAUCUGGUACUUGGCACUGCAGCCCUGUGCCCCUGCCUGUCCCAUAUCAUGCCCCCAUGCUGGGUGGUGCAGCCAGCUG